rnacentral:rRNA from 1 species
UACGUAGGUGGCAAGCGUUGUCCGGAUUUAUUGGGGUUAAAGGGUGCGUAGGCGGUCUUAUAAGUCAGUGCUGAAAUAUCCCGGCUUAACCGGGAGGGUGGCAUUGAUACUGUAGGACUUGAGUGAAGUCGAGGUAGGCGGAAUUGACGGUGUAGCGGUGAAAUGCUUAGAUAUCGUCAAGAACACCAAUAGUGAAGACAGUUUACUAGACUUCAACUGACGCUGAGGCACGAAAGUGUGGGGAUCAAACAGG